UCUCCAAUAAUAUGUGAAUAGCCUUUACUAAGGAGAGAAGUAGAUAGCUGUCACUGAGAAAAAGUCGCUAGAUAGCAGUGUCAUUGACUCACCUGUGCCAUUCGUUGUUGUUGUGGGGGCUGUUGUGGUGGUCGUGGUGGUUGUUGUGGGGGCUGUUGUGGUGGUCGUGGUGGGUGCUGUUGUGGGGGCUGUUGUGUUGGUCGUGGUGGUUGUGGGGGCUGUUGUGGUAGUUGCCGCAGCUGUUGUGGUAGUUGUAGCAGCUGUUGUGGGGCCCUUUGUGGUAGUGGUGGCAGAUGUGGGUUCUGUUGUGGCUGCCAUUGUUGUAGUUGCAGCAGCUGUUGUGGUAGUGGUGGGAGCUGCUGUGGGUGCUGUUGUGGUGGUUGCAGCAGCUGUUGUGGUAGUUGCUGCAGCUGUUGUGGUAGUUGAAGCAGCUGUUGUGGUGGUUGCAGUAGCUCUUGUGGUAGUUGCAGCAGCUGUUGUAGUGGCUACUGGAGCGGUUGUGGUAGUUGCAGCAGCUGUUGUGGUGGUUGCUGGAGCUGUUUUGGUGGUUGAAGCAGCUGUUGUGGUAGUUACUGGUGCUGUUGUGGUGGUUGUAGCAGCUGUUUUGGUUGUUUCUGGAGCUGUUGUGGUAGUUGCGGGAGCUGUUGUGGUGGUUGCAGCAGCUGUUGUGGUAGUUUCUGGAGCUGUUGUUGGUGCUGUUGUGGUAGUGGUGGGGGCUGUUGUGGUGGUUGCAGCAGCUGUUGUGGGGGCCUUUAUGGUAGUGGUGGCAGAUGUUGUGGGUUCUGUUGUGGUAGUUGCUAAAGCUGUUGUGGUACUUGCAAUAGCUAUUGUGUUGGUUGCAGCCGCUGUUGUGUAAGUUUGUGGAGCUGUUGUGGUAGUGGUGGGAGCUGUUGUGAGAGCUGUUGUGGUAGAUGCGUGAGCUGUUGUGGUAGUAGUGGUAGCUGUUGUGGUAAUUGCUGAAGUUGUUAUGGGGGCUGUUGUGGUGGUUGCAGCAGCUGUUGUGGGGGCCUUUGUGGUAGUGGUGGCAGAUGUUGUGGGUUCUGUUGUGGCUGCCGUUGUUUUAGUUGCAGCAGCUGUUGUGGUGGUGGUGCGAGCUGCUGUGGGUGCUGUUGUGGUUUUUGCAGCAGCUGUUUUAGUAGUUGCUGCAGCUGUUGUGGUAGUUGAAGCAGCUUUUGUGGUGGUUUUAGUAGCUCUUGUGGUAGUUGCAGCAGCUGUUGUGGUGGUUGCUGGAGCUGUUGUGGUAGUUGCAGCAGCUGUUUUGGUAGUUUCUGAAGCUGUUGUGGGUGCUGUUGUGGUAGUGGUGGUAGUUGUUGUGGUAAUUGCUGCAGCUGUAAAGGGGGCUGUUGUGGUGCUUGCAAUAGCUGUUGUAGGGGCCUUUGUGGUAGUGGUGGCAGAUGUUGUGGGUUCUGUUGUGGCUUCCGUUGUUGUAGUUGCAGGAGCUGUUGUGGUAGUUGCUGAAGCUGUUGUGGGUGCUGUUGUGGUAGUGGUGGUAGUUGUUGUGGUAAUUGCUGCAGCUGUAAUGGGGGCUGUUGUGGUGGUUGCAGCAGCUGUUGUAGGGGCCUUUGUGGUAGUGGUGGCAGAUGUUGUGGGUUCUGUUGUGGCUUCCGUUGUUGUAGUUGCAGCAGCUGUUGUGGUAGUGGUGGGAGCUGCUGUGGGUGCUGUUGUGGUGGUUGCAGUGGCUGUUGUGGUAGUUGCUGCAGCUGAAGUGGUAGUUGAAGCAGCUGUUGUGGUGGUUGCAGCAGCUGUUGUGGUAGUUUCUGGAGCUGUUGUGGGUGCUGUUGUGGUAGUGGUGGUAGUUGUUGUGGUAAUUGCUGUAGCUGUAAUGGGGGCUGUUGUGGUGGUUGCAGCAGCUGUUGUGGGAGCUCUUGUGGUACUUGCAAUAGCUAUUGUGGUAGUUACAGCAGCUGUUGUGGUGGUUGCUGGAGCUGUUGUUGUGGUUGCAGCAGCUGUUGUGGUAGUUGUAGCAGCUGUUGUGGGUGCUGUUGUGGUAGUGGUGGGAGCUGUUGUUGGUGCUGUUGUGGUAGUGGUUGCAGAUGUUGUGGGUUCUGUUGUGGCUUCCGUUGUUGUAGUUGCAGGAGCUGUUGUGGUAGUGGUGGGAGCUGUUGUGGUAAUUGCUGCAGCUGUUUUGGUAGUUG
ensembl:lncRNA